rnacentral:misc_RNA from 1 species
GAUGAGGAACGCAGCGAAAUGCGAUAAGUAAUGUGAAUUGCAGAAUUCAGUGAAUCAUCGAAUCUUUGAACGCACAUUGCGCCCGCCAGCAUUCUGGCGGGCAUGCCUGUUCGAGCGUCAUUUCAACCCUCAAGCUCUGCUUGGUGUUGGGGCCCUACGGUUGACGUAGGCCCUUAAAGGUAGUGGCGGACCCUCUCGGAGCCUCCUUUGCGUAGUAACUAACGUCUCGCAUUGGGAUUCGGAGGGACUCUUGCCGUAAAACCCCCAAAUUUUCUAAUGGUUGACCUCGGAUCAGGUAGGAAUACCCGCUGAACUUAAGCAUAUCAAUAAGCGGAGGA